CCUGUGGAGCUCAGCCUUCCCACAGGAUCUGCCCCGUGUUUGAAGGGCUGUGGGUGCAGCACAGCAGGAUUUGCUCCAGUGCUGGGUCCCCCAUCUCCUGCUGCAGCACGGGAUGGUUUGGGGUUAUUUGGGGUAUGAAGGGGCUCUUCCUUUAUUCAGUGUUUGAGGAAGAGGGUCCUAUGUAAGAGGGGAAAAGCAGGAAAAACGAGUGUGUGCUUCCAAACACCCGGGGAUGUGGGAAUCACUGGGCACAUCGGAGGAGCUCCCACACCCAGGGAGGGAUUUGGGGAUUCUUGUAGCUAAAACCCAUCGUGGUUUGCAAAGGAACCAGUAAUGCUGCUCUGGUUAAUACUCUGGGUCAGCCGCGGGUCAGCAGAGUGAGAACACCGCCCCAGGCACUGGGCUGUGGCUGCAUCUUUCCAGCAUCCCAGAGCAAUUUAGGGCUUCGUUUGGAGAACAGCCAAACUGCCUGAUGGAACACCGGAGGGCCCCUCAAAGCAGCCAGGGAAAGGCCCGGCUGAGGGGGAUGCUCCUCACCAGACACCCUCCAAGGGCAGUGGGAUCCUUCUCUGUGAGGUCCAUCUGCGUCUUGCUUCGCCACGCUCCGUGUGUUCCACAGCCCCAGGAGCUGCUGCCGGCAGAGGGAGCAGGAACUGAGCGGGAUCUGAGCCUCUCCUAAGCACGGUGUUUGCGUUUUCCCUUUUUUUGGCUGGGUCCCGAGGCCGCUCUCGGAAGAGCCAAGUGCCGGUGUUCUGUCUGCACGCUCGGAGCUGUUCAAUUAAACAUUUCAGGGAAUUAACUGCGUGCCACGAGCUGCAGCAAACCCGCUCGCAGCCAGGGACCGCUGGAUUUGCUCCUCGCCAAAAAAAACCUCGGGAAACAACGCUAAUAAAGAAGGAUAACUGAGUCCCUGCCUGCUGCACGGAGCCUUUUCUUUCUGCCUUUGCUUCUAUUCCUUUGUUUUCCCAGCUGGGAGGGCUCUGUGCUCAGGAUGCGGCUCCCUCAGGAGCUGACUGGGAUGGGGAUGCCCGGAGCCGUGCCUUGGCUGGAGCCUCCCUUUUCCUCGCAGCCCAGGAGGGAUUUGCCAGGGCUGGCAGGCGGGAG
rnacentral:lncRNA from 13 species